rnacentral:tRNA from 1 species
CCCGGCGUAGCUCAACCUGGUAGAGCGUCUGGCUGUAGACCAGAUGGUUCCUGGUUCAAAUCCGGGCGCCGGGACCA